GCCUUGCCAGCCCGCUCAGAAACUCAAAGGAAGUUGACGGGGGCCCGCACAAGCGGUGGAGCAUGUGGUUUUAAUUCGAAGCAACGCGAAGAACCUUACCAGGCCUUGACAUGCAGAGAACUUUCCAGAGAUGGAUUGGUGCCUUCGGGAACUCUGACACAGGUGCUGCAUGGCUGUCGCCAGCUCGUGUCGUGAGAUGUUGGGUUAAGUCCCGUAACGAGCGCAACCCUUGUCCUUAGUUACCAGCACGUUAAGGUGGGCACUCUAAGGAGACUGCCGGUGACAAACCGGAGGAAGGUGGGGAUGACGUCAAGUCAUCAUGGCCCUUACGGCCUGGGCUACACACGUGCUACAGUGGUCGGUACAAAGGGUUGCCAAGCCGCGAGGUGGAGCUAAUCCCAUAAAACCGAUCGUAGUCCGGAUCGCAGUCUGCAACACGACUGCGUGAAGUCGGAAUCGCUAGUAAUCGUGAAUCAGAAUGUCACGGUGAAUACGUUCCCGAGCCUU
rnacentral:rRNA from 1 species